GACGAACGCUGGCGGCUUUCCUACUACAUGCAAGUAGGACGCAGUUGCGAACGGGUGAGUAACGCGUAGGUAACUACCUAUUAGAGGGGGAUAACUAUUGGAAACAAUAGCUAAUACCGCAUACUAGUAGAUGGACCUGCGUUGUAUUAGCUAGUAGGUAGGGGAAUGGCCUAACUAGGCAACGAUACAUAGCCGACUCGAGGGGGGGAUCGGCUGCACUGGGACUGAGACCCGGCCCAGACUCCUACGGGAGGCAGCAGUAGGGAAUUUUCGGCAAUGGGGGGAACCCUGACCGAGCAACGCCGCGUGAGUGAAGAAGGUUGUCGGAUCGUAAAGCUCUGUUGUUAAGGAAGCGGUACUUAACCAGAAAGGGACGGCUAACUACGUGCCAGCAGCCGCGGUAAUAC
rnacentral:rRNA from 1 species